rnacentral:rRNA from 1 species
AGUGAACGCUGGCGGUAGGCCUAACACAUGCAAGUCGAACGGCAGCACAGGAGAGCUUGCUCUCUGGGUGGCGAGUGGCGGACGGGUGAGGAAUACAUCGGAAUCUACUCUGUCGUGGGGGAUAACGUAGGGAAACUUACGCUAAUACCGCAUCCGACCUACGGGUGAAAGUAGGGGAUCUUCGGACCUUGCGCGAUUGAAUGAGCCGAUGUCGGAUUAGCUAGUUGGCGGGGUAAAGGCCCACCAAGGCGACGAUCCGUAGCUGGUCUGAGAGGAGGAUCAGCCACUCUGGAACUGAGACACGGUCCAGACUCCUACGGGAGGCAGCAGUGGGGAAUAUUGGACAAUGGGCGCAAGCCUGAUCCAGCCAUACCGCGUGGGUGGAGAAGGCCUUCGGGUUGUAAAGCCCUUUUGUUGGGAAAGAAAUCCAGCUGGCUAAUACCCGGUUGGGAUGACGGUACCCAAAGAAUAAGCACCGGCUAACUUCGUGCCAGCCGCCGCGGUAA